CAGCCGCCGCGGUAAUACAGAGGGUGCGAGCGUUAAUCGGAUUUACUGGGCGUAAAGCGUGCGUAGGCGGCUUCUUAAGUCGGAUGUGAAAUCCCUGAGCUUAACUUAGGAAUUGCAUUCGAUACUGGGAAGCUAGAGUAUGGGAGAGGAUGGUAGAAUUCCAGGUGUAGCGGUGAAAUGCGUAGAGAUGUGGAGGAAUACCGAUGGCGAAGGCAGCCCCCUGGGCCAAUACUGACGCUCAUGCACGAAAGCGUGGGGAGCAAACAGGAUUAGAUACCCGUGUAGUCCCUGUCUCUUAUAC
rnacentral:rRNA from 1 species